rnacentral:rRNA from 1 species
GACGAACGCUGGCGGCGUGCUUAACACAUGCAAGUCGAACGGUGAAGCGUGUGCUUUUACUUCUGUCUCAGUUGCUAACGGGUGAGUAACUCGUGAGUAACCUGCCUAUCAUUCUGGGAUAAGCACUGGUUACGGUGUCUUACUCUUGCUACGUCCAACCUUUUCAUGGCGUGUUGGUUGAAAGAUUUAUCGGUGAUGGAUGUACUCGCGGCCUAUCAGCUUGUUGGCGGGGUAAUGGCCCACCAAGGCGACGACGGGUAGCCGGCCUGAGAGGGUGACCGGCCACACUGGGACUGAGACACGGCCCAGACUCCUACGGGAGGCAGCAGUGGGGAAUAUUGCACAAUGGGCGAAAGCCUGAUGCAGCGACGCCGCGUGAGGGAUGACGGCCUUCGGGUUGUAAACCUCUUUCAGCAGGGAAGAAGCGAAAGUGACGGUACCUGCAGAAGAAGCACCGGCUAACUACGUG